CAGCAGUGGGGAAUAUUGCACAAUGGGGGAAACCCUGAUGCAGCGACGCCGCGUGGAGGAAGAAGGUCUUCGGAUUGUAAACUCCUGUUGUUGAGGAAGAUAAUGACGGUACUCAACAAGGAAGUGACGGCUAACUACGUGCCAGCAGCCGCGGUAAAACGUAGGUCACAAGCGUUGUCCGGAAUUACUGGGUGUAAAGGGAGCGCAGGCGGGAGAACAAGUUGGAAGUGAAAUCCAUGGGCUCAACCCAUGAACUGCUUUCAAAACUGUUUUUCUUGAGUAGUGCAGAGGUAGGCGGAAUUCCCGGUGUAGCGGUGGAAUGCGUAGAUAUCGGGAGGAACACCAGUGGCGAAGGCGGCCUACUGGGCACCAACUGACGCUGAGGCUCGAAAGUGUGGGUAGCAAACAGGAUUAGAUACCCUGGUAGUCCACACCGUAAACGAUGAUUACUAGGUGUUGGAGGAUUGACCCCUUCAGUGCCGCAGUUAACACAAUAAGUAAUCCACCUGGGGAGUACGACCGCAAGGUUGAAACUCAAAGGAAUUGACGGGGGCCCGCACAAGCAGUGGAGUAUGUGGUUUAAUUCGACGCAACGCGAAGAACCUUACCAAGUCUUGACAUCCCUUGACGAUGCUGGAAACAGCAUUUCUCUUCGGAGCAAGGAGACAGGUGGUGCAUGGUUGUCGUCAGCUCGUGUCGUGAGAUGUUGGGUUAAGUCCCGCAACGAGCGCAACCCUUAUGGUCAGUUACUACGCAAGAGGACUCUGGCCAGACUGCCGUUGACAAAACGGAGGAAGGUGGGGAUGACGUCAAAUCAUCAUGCCCUUUAUGACUUGGGCUACACACGUACUACAAUGGCGUUAAACAAAGAGAAGCAAGACCGCGAGGUGGAGCAAAACUCAGAAACAACGUCCCAGUUCGGACUGCAGGCUGCAACUCGCCUGCACGAAGUCGGAAUUGCUAGUAAUCGUGGAUCAGCAUGCCACGGUGAAUACGUUCCCGGGCCUUGUACACACCGCCCGUCACACCAUGAGAGCCGGGGGGACCCGAAGUCGGUAGUCUAACCGUAAGGAGGACGCCGCCGAAGGUAAAACUGGUGAUUGGGGUGAAGUCGUAACAAGGUAGCCGUAGGAGAACCUGCGGCUG
rnacentral:rRNA from 1 species